AGUAAAAUACAAGGAGAGGUGGGUGUUAAGGGUGAUCCAAACAGAAAAAAGGGUUUUGAACUAACUCUUUCAUCCGAAGGGGGGGGUUGAUCAGUAGUUGCAAAGAUUUCAGGUUGAGAAAGAGAGAGAGAGAGAGAGAGAGAGAGAGAGAGAGAGAAUAUGUGAGAAAAUGACACUUGAAGAAGAUGAACAAUAAGAGAAAGAAGAAGGAGGAGGAGGAGGAUAGUAAAAUAUAAGUAUAGAGCCUAGCUUUUUUUUGUUUUGUGAACG
rnacentral:lncRNA from 1 species